GGGGAUUUAGCUCAGUGGUAGAGCGCUUGCCUAGCAAAUGCAAGGCCCUGGGUUCGAUCCCCAGCUCCG
rfam:Rattus norvegicus chromosome 10, whole genome shotgun sequence.